GCUGAGAAUUUAUCAAAUAGUGCCACUGUGUACUUUGUAUUUGCUGUUGUUUCCAUGAAAAUAAGUAGGAGGCAUUACUUUCAGAGCAGCCUACGUAUAAAUGGAUGGAAAUAGAGUUCUUGGUCUAGAGUUAAAAAGAACAAUGAAUUAUAAGUCCAAAAGGAAGAACUUAUGUUGUUUUCAUUCUGCACAGUGAAUCUUCUGCUGAUACAGCAGGAGCAGAGUUACAGCAGGUUCUACAUUGUAAGAAUCUUACUCAUCACAAAAGAGAAUUGUGGGGAGGUGGAAUGGUAAUGACUUACUAGUGGUUUGUUCUUUUUGUGUACUUUAGUGUAAAUCAGGAAUACGAGUAAAGCCAGCAGAGCUGUAUAAAUGAAUAAGAGAAUAAUCAAUAUGUAAGUAAUUAAGCCACAUCCUUCUGCGGAACCUACCUACCUACUUCCAAAAAGGCUGCAGUGAUUCCUUUGCAGAGAUCACAUGAAAAGAAGUACAUGGUGUCAGAAGAGGAGAGCUCUGAGCUCCUGUACAAUGCAGCUGAAUGCAACGUGUGUGCUGAGCCCGACCGAGCCUUGCACUGGCUGAUGGCUUCACCAUUCUUGCCCUGCAGAAAAGAAAACAUUAGAAACGCUCCUGGUUUUUCCUGAGAGGUCCAGGGUGUGCUGAGAACAAGGUGGAGAAACGAGGCCCUGCCUACCCCUUUGUUUUGUGAGGCAGACAUGCUCCACGACCUUGAGGAUGACAACAACAUUUGUUCCUCACACAAAGAUAAAGCUGGCCACUGGCUGCGCUUCCCCCUCCCCUCGCCAACCACAAGCAGAACAGGCAGGAUGUCGAACAAAGGAACGGCAGAAACAGCAACGAGCAUUACGUUCAGAUUAGAGGACAUUCAGGGUCUGUAAAAGUUCCAUUAGAAUAAGCACAAAUCCAGUCUCAAUGAGGAAGGGGUCUUUUCUCUCUCCUCCUUUGGUUUGUAUUGUUAAUCUUUCUUCCUGGAUGAUUCCUCACAAGCGCUUUUUGUUUUCUUCUCUGGUUCUACGUGCCAGGACUAUAAGGAGGAAGGGACUGAGGCUCUUUCUUGGCAAGCUUUCAAAUCACUUCCAUAGGAGACAUACACCCUGUUGCCAUCUCUCUAAGAGUAUAAAUUAAUGUAGUGAUGAGCAGUCCAGAGUAAUUCAAGUGCUGGUAAAGCUUCAGUUCUUCUUCAGUCCCUCAUUAUAGUGAGACAUUACUCUGGCAUCUGCUGUGCAGCUUCAGCUUGAGGAAUAAACCUACACAUGGGAAGAAGUGGAUGAGCAGAAAGCCUGCAUUUACACUGCAUCAUCCCAUGAUGAAACAAGAAUUGCUAAUUAUAAUACAGCGCGUCAGGGGAAAGCAUUGCUGACAAUUCCCUCAGCAACAAGGUUACCUUUGAAAUACAUAUGUAUGUAUGCACACACAUAUAGAUUGAAUGCAGUUUCCAGUAAAGCGUCAUUUCAGAGAGGCAGCUAUUUUAUGUUGUUUGCAAACCUUUUGCCAGAGUGACCGCUACUGUGAUGGCAUUUUUCUUUCAAUUUAUCUGUCUUCCUCCCUUAUACAUAUUUAGGCAAAUAAAAACGUUUCUUUACAGGCACAGCCCACAUGCCAGCUUCAUAUUUUCUGCAGAUAACCUAUUUUCAUUCAGCUUAAAGUGUAUCCUAUCAUUUUUAUUCAGGACUCCAGCCAUUUAUCCCAACUGAAAAAGUUUUCAAGAUGCCUUACGUAGUUCUCUUCAUAUAGGAUACAUACGGAAAGUCCCCAACAUUAUCUUAACAAAACACAACCAAGUAACAAAAUAGCUGGUAGAAACCAGCAUAACAUAGAAAAUGCAAUUUUAAUUUUCCUGCUUAUCUCUCUGAUGUUUCUAUAGCUCUUUUACCUCCUUUCAUCUUUUUUUUCCUUCACAAGUUGUACAACUGGCUUACGUGUUGCAACUAGACAUCUCCUAAUAACCUAAAGUUAAACUCCUCAUGCAGAUUUUUAUUUAAUUUAUACAGAGUGAGAUUUGGAAUCACAAAUCUAGAUAAGAACAUCUUUUUGCCAGAUGGGUGCAUAGGAAGUAUCUGCCACUUGAGUGUCAGAUUGUGUCCAAGGCUGCACCACUCUGCAAGGGAAUAAAGAUGAAGGAAGUAAGUUUUUAUUCUCCCCAAAUACUGUGUCUGAGCCACAGUAACAGUCAACCUGUUGACAUUCAUGAGUUCUUAAAGCUCCUGAUGGUAAUGAUGCUUUUGCACUGUAGACAGUGAGAAGGAGGAUUUACUGCUAACUCUUUUCAUGUCUCGCUAUGACUGGUCUCUUAAUUUGCAGUCAGGCCAAGAGCAAUUUCUUACCUGCUUACCCUAGGCAAAGGACAAAUAUGGGUUCUAACAGUUCCAGUUUAUACAGUUAUCUUGAUUAAAG